UGAACACAAAUAAUCUUCAUCGAGAGAUAAAACUGGAGCAGAAUCAGGGACCAGAGCCAUUUUGACAGCCUGUUACUUUCACUUUGGAGACUAACCAACUUUCAGAUGAAUGCUGGGGCACACAGGGAACUUGCUCAACAGACAACAUGACAAAUCCCUGCUAAGGCUAGUUAUAAGCGCAGCUGUAACUGAUAGCUGAUCUUUGCUAUGGAUUUAUCCCUAUCCAGCUCUCUCAGCUCCUUUAACUCUUAUCAUACAGCCUUUUGCAUAGCUCUGGAAUGGUGUAACCUUCUGCCUCGUUUGGACCUACAGACCAGACUGCCAGGAGCUCUUUGUCCCCAUCAGGACUCUUCACACAAAGCAGCAAAAGUAGCAGAGCAGAUAUUUGGCAUAUCAGGCAAAACAGUUAUAAAACCAAGAAGAGCAAAGGGUUCAGGGAAGUACUGCAGAAAAGACUUUGAGCAUACACCAUAAAUGAAAAACACCUGGAAUCACCCAGGUGAGGAAAUUAGAACAGUAGGAUUUCUGACCAAGCUGAAUGAACAAACACAUUGAGAAUUAUAAUAGAGCUCUGUAGAAACAACAUCUUUGAUACUGCUCUGGAACGAAGAAGAAUAUGGAAGCUGUAUCAAUGCCGUGUUGACAACACAAGGAAUAAAGGGCACAGAAAAGGAAACGAGCGUUUGAAGUGGAAACAAAUUUGAGCAGACAAAUGUACUGCAGUGAGAGGACAAAAUAUUCUUGAUCCCAGAACAAUGAGGAACCAUCACAUGAUCGCCACUGACAAGAGGGCUCUCAAUAAAAACAUCCAUGAGGAAGAAGAGGAAUGAGCCAAAGAUGCGUGCCUGAAAAAUAAUCAAGCUCUGCAAUGUUCCUCACAUCUGCCUUUUCUGCUUCGAGAUUCCACUACAGCCCUGCCAGAUUCUCACCACUUCAUGAUCUCUAUCAUCCUGUGGUUCUUGACAUGCCUAAAGAUGCUUUAUCUGAACUACCUUCAACUUAUUUCGAUGCUCAGCUGCUCCCAGGCAACUGCCAAGCUGGCACACUGCAGAAGGGUUUUGUGAAGAGGUUAUACAUGCCAAGCUUGCUCAUUAACAGCACCAGGAGCUGCAUCCCUGGCAAUGCAGAGGGUCUGCGCAAUCACAUCUCCAAUGCUUCUGCUGCUGCUGCUGCUGUGACGUUGCUGUGUGUGAAGAAGCAAGCAUGCCCACAGCAGAGCCGCUCCGGCUUGCAACCGGUCCCUGCGGGACCUCAGACAAGGCAGGAGAUGGGAGGGAGCAAAGAAGGAGAUGAAGGGAGAGAACAAAUCAGGCUGGAAGAUGGAGGAUUGAUUCUUACAGGAAUCGGGAAAUCAGGAAGGUAGCAUGGGGAGAAACAUAAAGAUGAAUGACUACACCAUAGGAAAGAGCUGCAGCAUGUUAUUCUAUGAUGAGCUUAGGUUUCAGAUGUUGCAAACUGCCUGAUCUCAUCUGGUUUUGUAAAGGAAAGUAAAGGGCACUGGAGUGCUGUGUUCCUACAAUUGAUAAUGGCAGCCAGAUCCCUUGGAGAAAAAACACUCAUCUGCAAAGUAAUGCACAGCAGGAGGAGGCUGGGGGGAAACGGAACGAUCAGGAAAAUGACAAGAAGCUUCUUGAAGCUUCUUUUACAUUUCUAUAGUGAUUUGUCCUAAAGAGAUUCAUCAGCAGCAUCUAUACGGUGCCCCCAAAACCCAGCCACCCUGAGAGUGCGAUGCAGCCACAAGCAGGUCAGUUGGUGUGGAACUGCUCAUGGUGACAGGGAUUCUGCAGUUCACCUGUCAUGGGGAAUCUCAAACAAAGACCCAAGCAACUAUUAAACACAGCUAAUGGUGACAGUGCUGGCCAUAACCUGGGCCAAACCCAUGCACAUCUACGUAUCAAUCCACAGCAGAUCCUCCUUCCUGAAACAAAGGAUUACCACCUGCAAAAAGCCAAGCUUUUCUCUUAUCCUAGGAACACAGAGAGGGAUUUUUUUUUUCAUCAUUUCCUUUCACCCUGAGCUCUCUCUUUCCUCAGCGCAAUAAUUUGUGCUUUUUUUG